CCUACGGGAGGCUGCAGUGGGGAAUAUUGGACAAUGGGCGAAAGCCUGAUCCAGCCAUGCCGCGUGUGUGAAGAAGGCCUUCGGGUUGUAAAGCACUUUCAGUGGGGAAGAAAGCCUUGGGGCUAAUACCCUCGAGGAAGGACAUCACCCACAGAAGAAGCACCGGCUAACUCCGUGCCAGCAGCCGCGAGUAAUACGGAGGGUGCGAGCGUUAAUCGGAAUUUCUGGGCGUAAAGCGCGCGUAGGCGGUCUGAUAAGCCGGUUGUGAAAGCCCCGGGCUCAACCUGGGAACGGCAUCCGGAACUGUCAGGCUAGAGUGCAGGAGAGGAAGGUAGAAUUCCCGGUGUAGCGGUGAAAUGCGUAGAGAUCGGGAGGAAUACCAGUGGCGAAGGCGGCCUUCUGGACUGACACUGACGCUGAGGUGCGAAAGCGUGGGUAGCAAACAGGAUUAGAUACCCGGGUAGUC
rnacentral:rRNA from 1 species